AGACUCAGCUGGAUAGAGCAUACGCCUUCUAAGCGUACGGUCGGGAGUUCGAAUCUCUCCUGGCACGCCA
rnacentral:tRNA from 1 species